AUCCUAGGCCAAGUCACCCCUCUCUCAUUGUCAUAACCUCUUAGCUGGUUUCUCUGCUUUCAUCCUUGCUUCUAUGAUCUAUUCUUCAUACAGCAGCCAGAGGAAUUCUUUUAAAAUGUGGUUUAUAUAACAUGAUUUCCCCUGCUAAAAAUCUUCCCUAUUAAUGGUCUGCCAUCUCAGGAUAAAAUCCAAAGUCCUUAAUAUGGCUCACAAGACCCUACACAAGCUUGCCUGUGGCCACUUUUCUUAUGUCAUCUCCCACUUUGGCCACUUUUCUGAUAUCAUCACUUACCACUCCCCUAAUUAUUCAUUUGGCUGUGGUCAUAAUGGCCUCCUUGGUGUUAAAAAAGUGUCAAGCAUAUGCCUACAGUUUUGUCUUUAGAAUGCCCUUCCUCUAGAUACCUGCAUGGCUUGUUCCCUCAUUUCAGUUUUCUGCUCAGCUGUCACAUUAUCAAAACAUCCAACACAUAAUUGUACCUAUAUUGCAUUUUUCACUAAUGGAUAUACCAUUUCUAAAGUUUGACUAUUGUCUGUCUGUCCCAUGCUUAAUCAAAGCAAGGGCUUUGUUUCAUAUACUGCUUUAUCUCUAGUGCCUAACAUCAUUACUUACACAUUGCUGGCAUUCAAUAUUUGUCAACAAUUUCUAAAAUAUAUAUGUUCCUUCAUUCAUAAAUCUCCUUAGAUGCUUCUCAUAAAACACAAAGUUUGAGAAUAGAGCUAAUAAUCUUUCAAUGGUUUACCCUUGUAUUUAGAAUAAAAUCCAAACUCCUAUUCAUGGCCUACAAGCCCCUUUACGAUCCAGUUCUUUCUUAAAUUUCUCCAAUUUCUUCAACGUACCUUUUAAGCCUCAAAUUGAGCCACUACUAUCUUCAGAACAAUGCUCUAAUCUUAUUGGCCUGAUUUAAGUUCCAAGAACAUGUCAAAUUCUUUCCCAUUUUAGAUUUUCCAUAUGCUGUUCCAUCUGCCAAGAAUGCUCUCAAAGUGGCCACCUCCUUUGCGUGUGAAAUGUCCUAGCUUAAAUGUCAGCUGCUCAGAAAGACUAUCCUGGAUCACUUUAAUUAGGUCCAUGCCAGGUAUUUUCUAUACCUGUAAUUUAUUCCUAAUUCUUGUUUGAAUUUUUGCAAUUCUAAAAUUUCAUUUAUUUAUCUGUUGAUCUUUCUGCUCCUCAAGCUCUACAUGUGUAGGGGGAAAAUGCCUGUUUUAUUAUAUAGCUAGUCCCCAGAACACAGUAUACAUAUAAUGUUUUAUUCCUUUAAUAUAGUUUUUCAUGUCUUACUUUCCAAUAUUUAUUACUUAAGGCCAAAUGUUCUUAUAUUUCCCAAAGAAGUACCUCAAAAUCUCCUAGAAAUAGUGACAAGUUUACACAAUAAAGAUCUUAUAUUAUUCCGAAGAAAGAAGUUGAGAAACAAGUGUACUUUUCAAAUGCAGAGAAACCUAUCUGAUGUAACUGGAUCAGCAGGCACAGGGUCUCUGACCACUGUAUAUAGGCUGUAGAAUAACAAAGACUGGUCAUGGGAAGAAAAAUAAAUACACAUCAGUAAGCUCAAAUUUAAACAGUCUUUUAGAAAUAAGCCUCCAAAACUUGAGAAAACACACUUUUGCUGAAAAGCAAAAAGAAAUGAUAAAAACAAAAGCAACUACCCCCCCCCACUUGCCAUAUACACACCACAGCUCAGUUUAACACCAAUUCAUGUCAGCAACACAUCCUAGAACAAGAUAGACCCUGCUUUUGUUUCUUUCAUAGAAGAACAAUAUGGUUUAUAAAACACUGAAAGAAAUCAAUGGGCUUAUGGUGAUUAAGGGAACACUAUAAGGAAUCAAAUAAAUUCAGUUGGGACCCAAAAUAGCUACCUAUGUGCUAGUGCCCUAAUAAAAAUGGGAAGAAAUAUUAAUCUAAUAUGAUUCUGGGGUAGGAGGCACUAUGAGAACACAGGAUGGUGCUAAACAGAAAUCUAGAGGAAUAUAGAAAAAGUUAAGAUUAGAAUACCAAAGUCUCAGAACUGUGCCCAGAAUGAGGAGUACAUAUAAAAAUGUAUUCAAUUAAGUAGCAGCUCUUUUUAUUGUCAUUAAAUUAAUGAAAAAACUAUAUGGUGAAAAAAGGGAAAACUGCAAAAGGGGUGAUGAGUGAAGACAACAAAAUGGAGUCUGAAAAGGAGGAGUCAUUUUAGGAGGUUUCUUUUAUUCUUGCCCCCAUCAAGUCCUACUGAAUAUAUCUCCUAAGUAGCUCUCGAAUCUGUUACCUUAUCACCAACACCACUGCUGACACUCGGGAAGCCCAAGGCAUCUUUUUUUUUUUUGAGAUGGAGUCUCGCUCUGUCAUCCAGGCUGGAGUGCAGUCGUGCCAUCUCAGCUCACUGCAACCUCCGCCUCCAGGUUCAAGCAAUUCUGCCUCAGCCUCCUGAGUAGCUGGGCUUACAGGUGUGCACCACCAUGCCUGGCUCAUUUUUGUAUUUUUAGUAGAGAUAGGCCUUCACCAUAUUGGUCAGGCUGGUCUCAAAUUCCUGGCCUCAAGUGAUCCACCUGCCCCGGACUCCCACAGCACUAGGAUUACAGGCAUGAGUCACUGCGCCUGGCCCCAAAGCAUCCGGAACCACAACAAAAACCUACUCAGUAAUGUUAUGAGACCCUUUGUUCUAAUCUCCAUCUGGCAGAUAGAAUGGAAUAGUAAAUAUGAAAAUCACAUUAUGUCACCAUCUUAAGAUUUUUCAAUAGCCUGCAAAAAUUGGAGGGAUAAAAUCUAAACUCUUCUGCAGUAUUUUUCAAACUUCUUUUGACUAAAAUUUCAUAGUAAGAAAUACAUAUUAUGACUGAGUACACACACUCAAACAUAAAACAAGGAUGUCAUAAAAUUAUCUUUGCUAUAUGUAUUAUAUAUUCAUAUUUUGUUAUUUUAUCUCCUGUUUUAUUAAAAACAACAAGUGCUGCUUAUAACCUACUAGGUUGUAUUCAUAACCUCUAGCAGGUUCUGCCCGGCCUGGCUCCAGUCAACCUCUCCGACUCCCUUGUGGCACCUCUGCCUCACUAGGCUCCAGCUGCAAAAGCCUUCUCUCAAUACCUCAUACAAACCAAGCUCCAUCCUCCUAUGGCCUGCAGUACACUGUUACUUCUGCUAGGAAUGCUCUUCCCUCUUCUCUCUAUCCUCAGUCUCCUUACCUGUUUUUCAUUCUUUCAGGGCUCACCUGAAACUUCAUGUACCAUUGCACUUCCUGAGAAGCUGUCCCCAAUCCCAGGCUCCUAGCAAUGCUGUUCCAGUAAUCUCUCUUCUGUAAGACAGCCACUCCACCCACUGCAGUCUACAAGGAAAGCCUCCAUAGCUGUGAUUAUUCAGUAAGAACAGUCUCAGGAAAACAGGACCUUCAACAGAGAUAAGAGAAUUAAAAUAUGCAGACUAACAACUCUGGGAAUGGGCUGACCAGCCUGAUAAGAAUAGGCUGAUGGCACCUACAGAAGGCCACAAAACACUGACCAAGAAAGCAAUGACCAACAAAGCAAUGACCUGAGACUGCACAUUUCACAAGAAUGUUUUGAUCAUCAUUUUUUCUAAUUUCCCUUAAAAACCCCUGAUAUGGAGACAGAACUCGGCGGUCUUUGAACACUAGUUCACUGCCUCCCCUGGGUUGUUGGAUUCCUGAAUAGAGCUAACCAUCCUUUCACCAAUGCUCAUCUCUUAAACUUUCAAGUGACAAGUGGUCUGGACCUGAAUUUCGUUACAAAACCUAUGUAUACCUUACCUUACAUGGCAAAGGGGACUUUAGAAGUGCAAUUAAAUUAAGGAUCUUGAGAGGGGGUUAUCCUGGAUUAUCUGGUUGGGCCCAAUGUAUUUGUAAGUGAUAGAGGGAGGCAGGUGAGUAAAAAAAGGAAACGUGAUGAUGAAAGCACAAGUCAAAAUGUGAUUGCUGGCUUUGAAAAUGGAUGGAAGCCACACCCCAGGGAUCGUGGACAGCCUUUAGAACCAGAAAAGGACAAGGAAACAGAUUCUCCAGUCCUCUAGAACCUCCAGAAGGAACAUGGCUCUGCUAAUACUAUGAUAUUAGCCCUUUCAGACUGAUUUCAGACUUCUGACCAGCAGAGGUAUAAAUCAUAAUUAUAUUGAUUUAAGCCACUAAAUUAGUGGUUAUUAGUAACGGCAGCAACAGGAAACUAUAUCAGCAACAAGACUCCUUCCUUCAUAGAACCCAAUUCCCAACCAAUUUUCAAACUUUCACAGAAAAUCUUGCCACACACUGAGACUAGGAACAUCCAACAAAAAAAUGCUAUCACUUUCAAAUGGAAAACCCAGGAUUGUAGAGAAGAUCAAAUUUUGUCAUGUAUCACAUUUAAACACUCAUCUCUACCUCACCAAACCGUGGUACUAAUGUGUACCAAUCUUAAAAGGAGGUAUUUCUGUUCCCUCAGAGCUCUGGGCAGAAGACUAUGCCUGUGGACAAUGUAGAAUUAUCUGCUGAAUGAAUAUCUGAAAACUGUUUGGAGAGGGGAAAAGCAUUGAGAAGAAUUGGGCUCUUUGCUACUAUUACUCGCUAGAAUGGGAGACGUUUGGAAGCAGUUCCCUUAAGGAACCAAACAAGGCAGGAAAUUCUGGGAUAAAUCUGGUGUUCACAUUACACAACAAAAUGAUUGUACUUCAAGAAGGAAAGAAACAGCAACUCACGUGGGGCAUGGUUUUUUAGAACUGAUCAAUUUUCUGGGUUCUUCUCCUGGAGGUGUGCAAAGUCCAGAGAAGCCAGUGCUGGACAAGGAAAAGAAGCCACAAGAUUAGACUUGGCUCACAGCCCACAAAAUAAACUACUUAGAACUACCUUUACUUCUCCUCUUUUGGGAAUUUGGAAAAAAUCUCAGUUCUUCCACAAACCCAAUGGAAGCCAGCUACUGCAGAAGGGGUUCAGGCAGACCUUUCCUUAAUGUCCAUGUUGAACAGGACCCUAGGUGCUGUUACUUUCCCAUGGCAUCUCCUCUUCCACAGUAGAACAGAGGCAUGCCCAGGGAGCCCCCCACCAUCCUCCUGGACCCAAACACUAAGUCAGGUACUUUGCUCCCAAUCUUAGGAAGGGGCUUCAGAGACCAAAAUGUGGCCUUCUUUCAGACGUCAUGAACAUCAGCUAGACUCACAGACAUUUUGACAGACAUAUCAGGGUCAACAGAUCCAAAACAGUCUCAUCCCACUCCCCUGAAUCUAGUUCUUUCUUGCCUGUUUACUCUUCCCUAUAAAAGAAAAUUCCUUUAUGCCUGACCUUUGCUAUGCUUGCAGAUCUUAUGGCUGGAGUAUUCUCCCAAUUACAACACCUCCUCCCUUACUGCAG
ensembl:lncRNA ZNF571-AS1 ZNF571 antisense RNA 1